GGGGCGGAAGGACGGGGGUGGAGGGGUGGAUUUCGCACUUUUGGCACCGACUGUCGUUACGCAGCAGGCGAGGGAGGCUUCGUUCGAUCCUAGCUGAAAGUGCGUAGGGUGCGCACGGUGCGCACAAGUGCGCACCGGCGCCGCCACCGCCGCUCCUUAGUCGUCCGACCUCCCGGCAGGUCGGCCAGAGUUCCUCGAGGGCCACCGUCCUGCCAACACCUCGCUCCGGACACGACGCAACCCGCCUUACGCACUCGCAGACGCACAUUUUUUUUCAAAGUUCAGGGGGACGGCAUCAUUCCAUUGAGUGUGAAGCUGCUCGAAAGUCUCCUAAUUCCAACGAAGCUGAAAACAAAACCAAAAGCAUUCAAAUCAAAUUCUGUCAGAGUGAGAGGAAAAGAUCAAGGAUGACUUAUCAAGCCAUUGAUAAAACAUCGUUCGCUGGAGAUAAAAAUAUGCUGGACGAAAUCAUCAAAAUUGGAGCGCCGGCCUAUCCCAAACCCUCCCUCACCCGUCCAACAGUUAAAAUUAAAGUAGAAGUCAACACCGCCUAAUUAUUCUGACCACAAUUAUCUAAAAAUUAACGCUACUAGCCGAUAUAGUUCCCUUCCACACGUCAUUUCCAACGACAGGUAGACCAAAAUCUAUAAAAGCUUUCAAAUAGUUUCAUGUAAAUAUAAAUCAGAUGAUUAUAAAAUAAUUGAUUUCAAUUUUAUGCUGACCCUCAAUGAAGCUUCUUCACAAUGAUCGAUUUGCAAUGCCAGAAAUCAGGAAGAAGUCACAAAAAGAUAUUUUAAUGAUUAGGAUUUAUCUCGUUUUAUGAUUCCACGAGAUCUCUACUGUGUGUCAAAUCCAAGGCAACAGAUUGAUUUUAAAAGAAAUUCUUACCACAUCGCCUGAAUCAUGUUCAAAUCACGAGUAAAUUAGGGACAGAUAACACAGUAUAAAAAUUACUUCCGCCUCUUUAAGAUUAAUAGGAAUAGUCCAUAUAAUAAGUAAGAAAUAAUUAGACGGUGCCAAAUCUGCAUAAAGUUUAAAAUAUUAUGUCAACGACAGCAGAUCACUUUGAUCUGACACUAAAAAAUUAACGAGAGUUUAAUUAUUUGAAAUCUUCCAAGUAUUAAUUCCUUUCACAUAUUCCCUUUUCUGAAAGCAUGCACGCUUAACACUCUCCAAAAAUUAUCACUUUGUCACAGAUGAGUAAUUAAAAUCGGAAUCCGGAGUCCCUGACAUUUAACCCACGCAGCGUCAUGAAAACUGCUGAGAAAGAAAAAUCCGUCGUCCGCCGCCGCCGCCCCUAUAACAAGAAUUCUCUUCAAGAAGUAAAAACUUUAGCUUAGAAGAUCCUGAGAUUGUAAACAGACCUUUCCUUAAAUAUGGACGCAUUCCUUUCCAGUGCGAGUGCUAAAUUUAUUACUGAGCACUGUGCUGGAAAAUAAUAAUUGCAACAUGCAAUCAGCCGAGAAGAAAAUCCUUUGUAUUUUUAGAUUUUCUAUUUUUUUUUUUUUUUUGAAUUGGUAGCGAUUAAAAUAUUGAUGUGUGAAUAUAAUGCUUACGGAAUAGGAAAUCAUGUUUCGGACUAACAGGGUCUUUCAGAAGAAACGUUAGCGAAUGUAAGACUAUGGAUAAUAAUCCUAGCGAAUAUAUAAUGUAGAGUCGAGAAAAUUUAAUACUUCUUACUUGAAGCAAGUAGAAUUUUUGCAGAUCGACACUUUUCUAAAAUUUACUAUUUUUCUUAAAAUAAUCAACAAUUCUCACUAGCCGCAGCCACUGUAUGUACUUAAAGCUGCUUCCCCUAAAGAAACUGCCAUUUUUUUUUAAUUAAUCACUUGUCAAUCAAAUGUUAAGAACCUUCGGGAAAAUAUCAUAUUUGGAAUGCUUUGUGAUUUUUUUUCUUUUAGAAAAAUUAAUUAUUCAAAUUCAUUUAAACUUAUGAGAAAUCAUAAUUAUAUAAUUUUAGAAAAAUAAUUAGCUAAAUUUUCAGCAACGUGCUUUUCGUAAUUAUUUUAAAUUUGGAAUAACUAAAGGGCUUUCAAGGCUGCAUUCAAUUAGUCUGAAAAGAAUAAAUCGCAAAUUAUUAAAAACGCGUGUAGAAAAUAGACUAGAAUUUUGCAUAAAACUUUUUGGACGCUAUAUAUAUACUGACAGUCAGAGGCUCGAUUUUUUGAUUGAUGUUGAAAUUUAGGAACGAAGGUGAAAUUUCUCACGACUGCUUUUUGAUACUUUUUUACUCUCAACCGCGCGGCUGAUUUUUCUAAACAUUUAAAGCGGGAGAAAACUAUGACGCUUGUGCUUUGAGUAGGUGAUAUCUUCAUUAAAUUAGAAUUUAUGUGUGUACAAAGAGGAAGUUGCGCGCAAAAAUAUCUCUGUGCACCGUGUCUACUUCAAUGUUCGUCGCUAUGUAUUCGUCUAUAGUCUUAUAAAAAGUGUGUAAAAUAAUGUCUUUGAUGUGUAAUUACGGCAGCAGCUAGGAGCAGAAAAAAUGCCCAGGACUGCUGAAUUUCUUUCUUCGUCGAUGUAAUUAAUUAAUAAUCGUACUUACGUGUUUGUCCAUUGUCCGCGCGCACUCAACUCGACCUCCGGUGAUAUAAAACGGCUAACAUUUUUCGCAUGCGAUCAGCGUGUGUUUUUUGAGUCGCUCAUCUCUGAGAUACCGUAGAAUAUAGCAAGAAUUUUUGCUUAGAUUGAUUGACGGGCUGCUGGAUAUAGUCAAUUUUGACGUGAUAAUCUUUAAAGGGAAUUCUCGAAAAAUAGCAACAUCAUAAAAUUAACUCUGAAUAACUUGCUUAUUAAAGUUAUGCAACCUGCUCUUCACCACAGUGAAACAGGUCAUAAAUUUUUUGUCAUAUAACAAUUUUGAUCAAAAUUUUCAAUUGAUUAACAUUUUUUCGGGAUUAUCCCUUUAUAUGAAAGACGAGCAGCUCAACUUGUAGUGACGAUGAAGGGAAAGUCAUUUAUUGUAAGACUGUUCCCAUAAUUUAUUUAUUUUGAUAGAUACAGUCUUUGAUUAUAAAACUCAUGUAAUUUUGAAAUUGGUGCUUUUCACGGACGACCACAUAAUAUUGUAAAAGGUAUUCUCCGUCGAUAAUAAAAUCACGCUUUUGGUAACUGCAUUUGGCCUGAUUAAAAUUUCAAACU